rnacentral:rRNA from 1 species
CGUUGGGAGCUCUCCCAUAUGGUCGACCUGCAGGCGGCCGCGAAUUCACUAGUGAUUCGUAUUACCGCGGCUGCUGGCACGGAGUUAGCCGGAGCUUAUUCUCCCGGUACUGUCAUUAUCAUCCCGGGUAAAAGAGCUUUACAACCCUAAGGCCUUCAUCACUCACGCGGCAUUGCUGGAUCAGGCUUUCGCCCAUUGUCCAAUAUUCCCCACUGCUGCCUCCCGUAGGAGUCUGGGCCGUGUCUCAGUCCCAGUGGGGCUGAUCAUCCUCUCAGACCAGCUAAGGAUCGUCGCCUUGGUGCGCCUUUACCACACCAACUAGCUAAUCCUACGCGGGCUCAUCCCUCGGCGAUAAAUCUUUGGACUUACGUCGUCAUCCGGUAUUAGCAGUCAUUUCUAACUGUUAUUCCGAACCAAGGGGCAGAUUCCCACGCGUUACGCACCCGUGCGCCACUAAGGCCGAAGCCUUCGUUCGACUUGCAUGUGUUAGGCAUGCCGCCAGCGUUCGUUCUGAGCCAUGAUCAAACUCUAAUCGAAUUCCCGCGGCCGCCAUGGCGGCCGGGAGCAUGCGACGUCG